UCACUUCAAAUAUUCCGUUUUAUUGCACAUUAAGUUUUUAAGAAUGCAUGACAAAUUACUGGGAAGAUUACAAUAUUUGUACCACAUAAAAUUUCUUUUAUAAACAAAAAUAUUUGUAGGAAGCGGGCACGUCACAUACUGAGCUCCUUCUUAUAAAUCCUCUAAAAUUGAAAGCGGUAACUAUAGCGGAUAAAUCGAACGUUUGACAUUCCCAAAACCUAAAGAAUAUUUUAAUAGAAUUCCGUUACAUGCAUUGUACAUACAAUAAGAAUAGGAUAGGAAUCUGUAUCCCUCUAUAAUAGUCCCAACUCUUUUUUAAAUGUAAAAGUUAUACCUACAGGACAGAUCAAAGAAAUCAGGCUACAUUAAUUCAAUAUACAUUUCAUGCAUAAUGUCUUACUCAAAGCACUUUAAUCAAAAUGGGUUGAAUCGGGAUCAGUAAGAGUAAGCGAUAGCUAUAAACACGGAAGUUGACAGAAUUGCUGCGAAUUUAAGUCUGUCAGUGGACAAAUCAAGAUCAUAUGGUAAAGCUGUGCCCUUCACAUUACUUAAACAAUUAGCAGGUUUGGGCAUGGAUCAUGAUAUAUAGCAGUGAUGACAAUGGACAGUCUUGGUACUCCAUUUGUAUUACCUGCAAUGCUUUGCCAUUGCUGUAUUGAGAACUUUUUUUUUUUUUUUUUUUUCAUUUUCAUUUUUUUUUUUGUGUAAACUAAUAAUUAGAAGAGCACUAAUUUUACUAAGCCAUUAACUACCCCAUUGGAUUAAUGGUAUCAAUGUCACAGUGAACAUUUAUGCAAAGCUAGCCCCAGACACAAGGAAAAAAAAACACACCUAUAAAAAUAAAUGUUUUGUUGCAUAAAUAGUGAAGGGGCAUGGGGGGCGGAGCCUGGCUGGGGAGCUGAUCAGACGCGUGCAGCAAGAGCUCUCGUCUGAAAUCCUGUUUUACUCGAAAUAACCCCAGUUCUCAUGCUGCAAAAGUGUUUGAAUUUGCAUCACCCAGGUAGGGGCUGCAAAGGAGAACAUACAGAAGUUACUCCUGAAACUCUAAGCCGCCAGGAAGGCGGGCUGCAUUGAUGGGGCCUACCGCAGUGACGAAUAGCCUGAAUAGCGGCCUGGAAGGUGGUGAGGGCAUGGGUGAGGCGGCCGAUCGCCCGGCCCGGAACCCCCUGAAAGCAAACUCAGACACUGCGGAGGUCCACCCACGAGCCUUCUCCCUCCCCCCCCUGCCGGUGGGGGAUAUCCCGGCACCAGCAGUAUACCCACCGCUGACACUCACGUCCCAAAGACUGCGAACACCACGAGUCCCUAACUCUAAAAUGGCGGAUACCACACGCCAGUCAGCAAACUUGGAGACAAACGGAAAACCGCCAAACUACACCCUGACUAAGCUAGAUGCAAUUUUUGCUGCCUUUUGGACCAGGAUUGCGGAGAGGGCAUUGAACACGGCUAAAGCCAAUCGUACCACUCUUGCACCCACACCACCCGC